AGAGUUUGAUCCUGGCUCAGGAUGAACGCUAGCUACAGGCCUAACACAUGCAAGUCGAGGGGCAUCGCGUGCCGGAUUUCGGUCCGGCGCGGCGGCGACCGGCGCACGGGUGAGUAACGCGUACCCUACCUUCCCCUUUCCCGGGGCCAGCCCUGCGAAAGCAGGAUUAAUCCCCGGCGGUGUCCCGGGUCCGCAUGGGUGCGGGACCAAAGGAGCGAUCCGGAAAGGGAUGGGGGUGCGUUCCAUUAGCUUGACGGCGGGGUAACGGCCCACCGUGGCCGCGAUGGAUAGGGGUUCUGAGAGGAAGGCCCCCCACACUGGGACUGAGACACGGCCCAGACUCCUACGGGAGGCAGCAGUGAGGAAUAUUGGUCAAUGGGCGAUAGCCUGAACCAGCCAAGUAGCGUGGAGGACGACGGCCCUACGGGUUGUAAACUCCUUUUGCGCGGGGAUAAAGUGCUCCACGUGUGGGGCUUUGCAGGUACCGCGCGAAUAAGCAUCGGCUAACUCCGUGCCAGCAGCCGCGGUAAUACGGAGGAUGCAGGCGUUAUCCGGAUUCAUUGGGCUUAAAGGGAGCGCAGACGGUCCCGUAAGCCGGCCGUGAAAUUCCGGGGCCCAACCCCGGCACAGCGGCGCGAACUGUCGGGACUUGAGUGCGGCCGAGGCGGGCGGAAUUCGUGGUGUAGCGGUGAAAUGCUUAGAUAUCACGAAGAACUCCGAUUGCGAAGGCAGCCCGCCAGCCCGCUACUGACGUUGAGGCUCGAAGGUGCGGGUAUCGAACAGGAUUAGAUACCCUGGUAGUCCGCACGGUAAACGAUGGACACCCGCCGUGGGCGACAUACAGUCCGCGGCCAAGCGAAAGCGUUAAGUGUCCCGCCUGGGGAGUACGCCGGCAACGGUGAAACUCAAAG
rnacentral:rRNA from 1 species